rnacentral:rRNA from 1 species
AUGGGAAAUGAGCUUGAUGCUUUCUCGGCGGAGCUUCGACGCCGGCCUGAAGUAAGGAUCAUCAACAAGUAUGCCGUCGUCGCCGCGUACGUCACAAUUACUCUUAAAUCCGUCGGGGCCUUGCUGCUUUUGUGGGCCACCGUGGUCCUGCUGGGUGGCUUCGUCUCGUCGAUGACGAAGGACGAUUUUUGGUCUGUGACCAUCAUCACAUUUCCGCAGGCUGCCGGGGUAUUCGAAGAAAUCGGAUUUGCUGGCGCGGAUAUAUAUUGGGUUUGGGAUCUUCUUAUUGGAGCGGACAUUAAAUCUUGGGUACAAAAGUGUCAGUGUGAACUUAACCAGUUGCCUAUGAGACAAUGGUGGAAGAAACAAAUACAAAAAGUCGUGUUAGUUCUAAUAGUUAUCGCUCUGUCCGUGCAAGUGGCGCUCCUCGCUGUUACUGGACCAUUGGUUUGCAUGCUUGUGUCGAGUCGUGCAAUAAUGCAAGACCAUGGCAUCGCGGACGGGGAGGCAUUUAAAGCAAAUAUGAAGCGGACGCUGAACUUAUUCUACAUCGCAGCAUUUGCUCACGGCGGCAUAUGCGCAUUGUGGAUGCUGGCUCAAGGGGUGGAUGAUAAGUGGAUCGAGGUUAUUGUCAGCCGCCAACAUGGUUUCAGCUGGGAGGUACUCGGUGCAUAUUUGCGCAAAACGAAGCAGAUGUGUCUAAAUCACCCCGGGUCGGUGACAAGCUGGAAUUUGAUCACGUAUGGUGCCGACUUGCUGGAUUCCAGCUUACCAGAAGAAUAUGCGGCUGGAGGGAGGGUACUAACAAUGCUGAUUGAUAAGGAUGUAGCAUUACAGGUAAGACGGCUGCUGAUCAGGUCACCCAGACAAAGAAUAGAGAAGCUGAUCGGCACCCUUGCUUGGAGAAGCCCAGACGACCAAGAGAUGAGAUGGCUUGCAGCAAGGAUUGUGGAGCAUCUCGCUGCCGACCUCAACCUUGCUCACUUUCCGGGAGCAUUGGAAUGCAUAUCCUCCCUCCUCGAUCAAGAUACCCUCCUAUUGGCAUUUGUACAUCUGCAAGGAACAAUGGACCAGGUUUUGCCAGCCUUGAGAAUUCUAGAGAACCUAGCUCACAACAGGCAUAACUGCGCACUGAUAUACAACGCCAAUGAUCUUCUUUCAAAAAUAGUUGCGCCUGUCAGCUCUGACAAAUUAGUAGAAGAUAUCAGAAGCAGUGUCGCAUGGACCAAGGUAGUAGAUGGAUCACUGAAAGUGGUGAGCCGGCUGAUGGAUUCUUCAGGAAGCACCGGCCAAGACAUGUGCAAGCUAAUUGCAGAUGAUAAUGAUGCGGUCAAAAACUUGGAGGCCGUUCUAGACAUGGAUAUGAAGAGCAACAAUGGUAUGAUAGAGCUACAGAUGAGAGCUAUAGAGGUUCUUACACAAUUAGUCUUGCGUCAUCCAGCAUGUACUUCUGCAGAAGAACUUAUCAAGAGGGCACUGCACAUCUUCCUUACUGCAGAUUGGAUGCAAGAUUAUCUGAAAGAUGAGAAAAGGAAGAUCGAGCACCAGACUACAAGUCAUGUACAAAAGAAGAUGAAAGAAGCCAAGGAAACUGCAAGCCGGCUCAAAGAACAGGCUGGUGCAACAUUGGCCAUGCUAUCUAGUGAUUCAGAGGCUAUCAAGUGUUUCACAGGAUGUAAUGAUGAUGUCAAUAAUCUUACUGAGUUGCUUGACACCGAUAUCAAGACCAUCAACUGCAUAAUAAGUGCAACAGAUACUGUGGAAAUAGAGAUCAGCAUUGAAUGUCGUGUUAGCGCAGCACUCAUCUUGAAGAAUUUGAACAACUAUGUCAAGGAACCAACUUUACGGAAGGUACUCAGACAAUUGCUUCCUGUACAACAAGACGAGCAGAGCCACAACAAGCACAGGAGCCUGCAAGCAGCGCUGUUAUCACUCAUCACAGUGAUUCGUGCAAACACCAAUCUUAAUCUUGCACCAAUCUUAAUUUCGCAGAAGCCGGCGGAUACCCUGGAAGACUUGGUGGUGAGGCUCCAAAGGAUGUCGGAGAACUUGCAUGUCACCCCCGCGUGUCUCGCGAUACAGAAGCUUACUUGCGAGAUGGUUAUAGAAUUCAUGAAGCAUGAUCGAAAUGUCAGAGUGAUCGACCAGCACAAUAUCGUCGGCACAUUACUGAAGGCUUCAGAGAUGAUGGUGGGACUUGAGAACAGCAUGCUUUUCGCUGCAGUCGAUCCAGACUGCUAUGGGGUUCCUCUAAGGCCUUUCUCUUCUGUUCUCGCUAAAAAUGCCGAAGAUCUUUUGACACAGAGGAAACAGGCACUGGGCAUCAACAAUGUGCCUGUCGGUACACCAGUACCAUGA